rnacentral:rRNA from 1 species
UACAGAGGUCUCAAGCGUUGUUCGGAUUCAUUGGGCGUAAAGGGUGCGUAGGCGGCGGGGCAAGUCAGGUGUGAAAUCUCGGGGCUCAAUCCCGAAACUGCACUUGAUACUGCCUUGCUCGAGUACUGGAGAGGAGAUUGGAAUUUACGGUGUAGCAGUGAAAUGCGUAGAUAUCGUAAGGAAGACCAGUGGCGAAGGCGAAUCUCUGGACAGUUACUGACGCUGAGGCACGAAGGCCAGGGGAGCAAACGGG